UGCGUAGGUGGUCCGUUAAGUCAGUUGUGAAAUCCCUGGGCUCAACCCAGGAACUGCUUCUGAUACUGGCGGACUUGAGGCCGGUAGGGGUCACUGGAACAGACGGUGGAGCGGUGAAAUGCGUAGAUAUCGUCUGGAACGCCUGUGGUGAAGACGGGUGACUGGGCCGGUUCUGACACUGAGGCACGAAAGCGUGGGGAGCGAACGGGAUUAGAUACCCCGGUAGUCCACGCCCUAAACGAUGCAGACUAGAUUGCAGCGGGUUACACCCCGUUGCGGUCGGAGAAAAAUUGUUAAGUCUGCCACCUGGGAAGUACGGUCGCAAGGCUAAA
rnacentral:rRNA from 1 species